CGGCCCUGAUUGGCACAGUCCCAGCAGAUGACUUCUAGUAGUGUAACUCAGCCUGUAGCUCUAGCCAUGUUUUCGGACAGGGGUUGAGGCAAGAGAAGAGAGUUCUCCUUUUCUUUGGUCGGUUCCCGAAGGAAGAUUCGUUCGCUUUAGCUUGGAUCUUCAUCCUGACUCAGUAGGCGGUUAACACAUUGAACACGGUGACGUCAAAUACGUUCACUUGCGGGUGUUCAGAUGUGUAGAUUAUAGUGGACCCUGAUGUUUCUUUCCCUGUUGUUUUGAGAGCCAUAACUAGAGGAGGGGUUGAUAACUUCUGGC
rnacentral:lncRNA from 1 species